AUGAAGUCUUUGCUGAAAAUUAAAGUGUCACAAAGUUGUAAUUUAAAGUCUUGGUUUAGAAUCUUUUGGUGAAUCCGAGUAAAAAAACCAACUUUGUAUUUGUAUAUGUAUUGUGUUGUGGGAUUUUUAUUUUGGUUUCUGUUGCUAUUUUUGAUUGCGGCUGAAUGAAUCUAACAAAAACAGAAUAAAAAAAUAAAAAUAAAAAUAAACGAAAACAAAAACAAAAAAACAAAGAUGAAACAAACAGAUUUUAAUAAAACAAUUUGUGUAUUUUUUGUGCUUUUAUGUACAUCACGUCUAUGCAUCAUGUUUUACAUGUGUUGUUAUAGAUUUGAAAUUCAUGCAUCAUGUUCAUAUGUGCUGUCUAACCCAAUUUGUAUUUUGUUGGAUUGUGUACUUUUUUGAGUGUAAGGUCACCAUUUUCUGGAACAAUAAUGACGCCCACAAAAAAGUUUGUGAUUUGGGUACAUUUGUUGGAUACUUGAUGAAGAUACAAACAGCAUAUACAAAGAAAUAAUACAUACACACAUAAAAGCAAACAAUAUGAUAUGGCAGUGGACUUCUUAUGCCACAUGGAUGAGAAUUGGGCUGUGCUAAGUGUAGCUGCAAAUAUUCUGUCCAAAGGUACUAAACUUAUGGGAAGGACUAUAUGAAAAGAAAGUGAUGACUUGGUAUCUGUCCAUGAUCAGAUUCGUGAUCGUGAAACCCUUCUCGCUGGAUUUCAGGUCAAUGAUGAAUAUAUGAGAACUCUUGAGACCCUAUGUAAGAAGUUGAAGUUUGUGGAAGUUGAUAAGCACUGAUAAGAUGUUCAACCUCAUUUUGAUGAUUUAUUUGUAUGUUGGGCAGUACAUGAAUACAAAGAUAUAAAUUGGACUGCCUCUGUGUGAUCAUGCAUAUGUGAAUAUAUGUGUAUGUGUAUGUGUAUGUGUAUAAUCCAUGGA